rnacentral:tRNA from 1 species
GAUCCGUUAGCUCAGCUUGGGAGAGCGCUACCUUGACAGGGUAGAGGUCAUUGGUUCGAGCCCAAUACGGGUCA